rnacentral:rRNA from 2 species
CGGAGCAUGUGGUUUAAUUCGAAGCAACGCGAAGAACCUUACCAGGGCUUGACAUGCCGCUGACCGGUGCAGAGAUGCAUCUUUAUCCUUCGGGGUACAGCGGACACAGGUGGUGCAUGGUUGUCGUCAGCUCGUGUCGUGAGAUGUUGGGUUAAGUCCCGCAACGAGCGCAACCCUUGUCUUUAGUUGCCAUCAUUAAGUUGGGCACUCUAAAGAGACUGCCGAUGACAAAUCGGAGGAAGGUGGGGAUGACGUCAAAUCAUCAUGCCCUUUAUGUCCUGGGCUACACACGUGCUACAAUGGUCGGUACAACGAGAAGCAAGUCAGCGAUGGCAAGCAAAUCUCUAAACGCCGAUCCCAGUUCGGAUUGCAGGCUGCAACUCGCCUGCAUGAAGUCGGAGUUGCUAGUAAUCGCGGAUCAGAAUGCCGCGGUGAAUGCGUUCCCGGGUCUU